rnacentral:rRNA from 1 species
AAUGAACGCUGGCGGCAGGCCUAAACAUGCAAGUCGAGCGCCCUAGCAAUAGGGAGCGGCGCACGGGUGAGUAACACGUGGGAAUAUGCCUUUUGGUACGGAACAACCUCGGGAAACUGAGGCUAAUACCGUAUGGUCCCUUCGGGGUAAAGAUUUAUCGCCAAAAGAGUAGCCCGCGUUGGAUUAGCUAGUUGGUAAGGUAACGGCUUACCAAGGCGACGAUCCAUAGCUGGUCUGAGAGGACGAUCAGCCACACUGGGACUGAGACACGGCCCAGACUCCUACGGGAGGCAGCAGUUAGGAAUAUUGGACAAUGGGCGCAAGCCUGAUCCAGCCAUGCCGCGUGAGUGAUGAAGGCCUU